rnacentral:rRNA from 1 species
AUUGAACGCUGGCGGCAUGCCUUACACAUGCAAGUCGAACGGCAGCGGGGGAGAAGCUUGCUUUUCCUGCCGGCGAGUGGCGAACGGGUGAGUAAUACAUCGGAACGUGCCCCUGUAGUGGGGGAUAACUAGUCGAAAGAUUAGCUAAUACCGCAUACGACCUGAGGGUGAAAGUGGGGGACCGCAAGGCCUCAUGCUAUAGGAGCGGCCGAUGUCUGAUUAGCUAGUUGGUGGGGUAAAGGCCUACUAAGGCGACGAUCAGUAGCUGGUCUGAGAGGACGAUCAGCCACGCUGGGACUGAGACACGGCCCAGACUCCUACGGGAGGCAGCAGUGGGGAAUUUUGGACAAUGGGCGAAAGCCUGAUCCAGCAAUGCCGCGUGUGUGAAAAAGGCCUUCGGGUUGUAAAGCACUUUUGUCCGGAAAGAAAUGGCUCUGGUUAAUACCUGGGGUCGAUGACGGUACCGGAAGAAUAAGGACCGGCUAACUACGUGCCAGCCGCCGCGGUAA